GUCCCACUUUCCAUCUCCUUUUCCUCUACCAUCUUCGUAGGCGGUCCUUCUUUCCUGCCCCUCAAUCCAUGAUCUCCCGGUGGCUCAUUCUAGACCAUUCGCGGCAGCCCCGGCAUCCGCUGCCGCUCCUCACUCCGCGAUUUCACCGUGCGGCGGCACCCGCCGUUUCAUGUAGGAGAAAGCAAAUCAGAGGAGGGAGCCAACGGCGCGUCACCACGCCAAGGUCUUGGCUCCCACGGACCACCACCGGCGUCGAUGCCUUCAGAUCAGGCCAAUCACACGAGUUUCAGGGCGACUCCAUGGCCACGGGCAUGUGGAGCACUAGUGGCCAUCUGCGAGUCCAGUUCAGUCAGGCGGAGCGUGGCGCCCCGUGCUGCCGCUCCAGGACUGCGGCCAACCACAGAAAUCUCUUGCGUUGGUCGCGGAUGGGGGUGAGGGACUUGCUCGCUGCAGCGAAACUCCAGGCUCUGGACGGCUGGACCAUGGCCUGCUCUGGCUUUUCGUCCUCGAAAUCGGUCUGUCGGAGGCCCCAAGAACCCGAUUAAACACAUGCACCCGGUCAUGGCAGAUGCGGUUAUCACCGACGUGCUAGCGGCAGCCUUCCUCUAGGGCGCCGGUGAAAUAGCGCUCGCCCCUGCGCGGAGAUGAGGUGGAUGGGGAAGUGGAGGAGGGCGUCUUUGGCAUCCGCUUCCCUGCAGCGUGGGCAGCCGUCGUUACCUAGCAGUCCUUCCGGACGACGACAGCGGCGGCGAUGCAACAUAUGGUGUAGUGGUGCGUCCUGCCGUCCUGGCAUGGCGGAGGCUGGGCGGUGUACCCGGCAUCGAGGGCGAAGACCCGGGGCGGGCCACGGUCCAGGCGCUUGUGGUACGGCAUACGGCUCGGCGCAGACCGCCUGCUCGAUCCCCUCCUUGUCGAAGCCAGCGCAUCGCCGCACAUGGUCUAGCAGCACAUCGAAAGGAACGACAGCGUCGUAUGCGAGGAGGUCUCCAUGCACAGCCACUUUGACGACCUCCGCGCCCUUGGCACGUAGUGCUCUUCGCCCACACCCUCGCUCUUCCAUCUUGAUCCGGGAGCUUCUCAAGUCCCUUGGUUGGUUACACUACUGUUUAGCAGCUUGGAACUGAACUUUACUGGGAUAAUUUCUGAAGGGAGAGGAGAACAACUACUCUCCCAUAUUCUGCCGGUAUGCCUCUGCCCAUAUAUCCAAAUCAGGAAAUCGCUGAGGUGGUGGAAAUUAGUUCCUGUCUUGAUUGUGUUCGGAAAUAGAUAGCUCUGAUUUUCUGGCUAAGCUGGUUUGUGUUUGGUACCUGAUUUUGAGGAAACUUGCAAGUUAUAGGGUUUCAUUACUUCCCUUGAUAUGCACAUCGUUGUAGGUUUGUUGCGGAAUUCUGACUUUUGAUUCUAUCUACUUUUUUUGCUGGUCAAUGUCUGCACUUUUUUUUUGCUAGACAGUUCAUUUCAGCUGGAUUCUGAUCAUGUUACAUGUAAGAGUUAACUUCUGAUAUAUCCUUGAAUUUACUCGAUAAUCCUAAUAACUGAUGCAUUGCUUCCAUUUUCUUCUUCUGUGCAGGUGGAUCUUACACGGUGCAGGCAGCUGCAAGAUGGUGAAUCAACAAUGCCUGAUAUGAAACCGUGCACAUAGUCCCUACGACUAGCCUGCCAUCAAGUUCCCCUGGAUCGACGCAGACAUCAACUUCAGGAGAUGACUGGCUUCAGCAAGGAGGAAUUCGUGCAGGUGCAGCAGCAGCAGGGGCUGGCUUCUUCUAGGGAAACUCCAGGUUCCAGGGCAUCACACUGUACAAGUGUGGCAAGUGGGAGGCUAGAUCAUGGGCAAGAAGUAAUCUUUAUUCGUCAGGGCAAAAUACGUAAAUUUUCUACAGGUAUGAACAUGAGAAGUUAUGCUUAAGAGCUAAGUUGAUUAGUGUGAGUAACAUAACGUACUAGGGCUCCCCUCCAAGAAACAUGUAACAAAUUAGUUAUAUGGUUCAUGUAGUCAUGAAGGCAUGCUAUACGUCAGUGUGGGAGAAAUUCAUAUAAAGUCGAGAGAGCCAGUGUGCUGCUAACGUUACAAAGAGUCCUGGAAUCCUGAAUUUACUUCCCACCGUUUGAAGCGCUGGUCUGAUUAGCAACCAUGUCACCUCCCCCCAGUACAUCUCUUUUCUUGGGUCAAAAAUGAAGCUACAGUCACCAGUUUCCGUUAGCUGGAUAAAAGAAUAUUGGUUAACCAAAUGUUAAGUGAUAUUUUUCCCCCUCUUUUCUGGUCAAAUGAAGUUCUAAGUUAUUAUUUCUUGGGUUGUAUUCAAAACCUGAAGUCAUUUAAAUUUUUUAGGACCACAGUCAAUUAAUUUUCAGGAGUAUAGAUGUAGUCAAGCCUUCCGACAUUAUCGAUGGGAAGCUAAUAUAAUUACCAAGUAGUGGCUUAUUAUACUAUUUCCUUCAGCGAAUUGAUAGUGCCUUUCGAAAUCUGUUCCGUGAACAUUUGUGCAGUUUCCAGUUUUCUUUGAUGUAAACUUGAAAUACUUGGCUAUAAAAAAAUUCAAAGAGCAGUCAGCUCUUUCAAGUGUUCUUGCUGCCUGUCGAGUCAUGGUUAUUACAGUCUUUAUGUAUCUUAGGCUGUUCUAUUUUCUUAUUUACUAUUGCAUUUACUCAAAAUGAACACUACCAUUCGAAAAUAAGCCUACAGCGUUGCCCUGGUUCACCGAAUCCAUUUUUUCUUUUUUGGUUUAUUAUUCGAAAUGAUAUCAACCAUUUGGAACUGAACCUACAAUUUUUAUCUGGUUUAAGGAAUCCAUUUUCUCUCUGGUUUAUUUUUUCAUAAUGAUCUCAUCCAUUCGGAACUGAGCCUGUAAUUUUGCUCUGGUUCAAGGAAUACAAUUUUUUUUUCCUUUUUGAGUAAUUGACUUAGCUAGCUAUUUUGGACAAUACAGGGUGGUCAGAUGUGUUUGGGUUUCCUCUUUUUGGUGUUCCACACUUCCAUUGAGGAAAGUUUUAGAACUGGCCUACUAUUUUUUUCUGCAGCACACUUUUUUUUUGGUUAAUGUGCAAUCUAAGCUUUAGUAAUUAGGCGCAGCUUCUGGAGGACACUAGAAGAGGAUAGGGGAGGAAUGUUUGUGUUUUUUCUAAUUUCAGAUCUAUUGUUAGUCUUCCGUUCCCUUCAAAAACAUUGUGCUUUGUUUUCCCUUAUGAUAUAUCUUUUGUGCAGUUUAAUGCUGGAUUGGCGGUUGUGCCGCGCUUCAUCCUUAUUGUUAGUCUUCCGUUCCCUUCACAAAAAUUGUGCUUUGUUUUCCCUUAUGAUAUAUCUUUUGUGCAAUUUAAUGCUGGAUUGACGGUUGUGCCGCGCUUCAUCCUUCCACCGUUGAAGAACUGGCCACGAAACAAUCAGCAGCUGCAGCUCAGUCAAGCGCAAAGGGAAAACAAGUCUGGGCAGGACUCUGAGGGUCCCUUGCAUAGAGAGGCACUAAGAGCUAUAGGCCUUGGUCGAAGUGAAGGAAUUCGGCGCAUAAACAUAUGUUCUUAGCGGUUCACAGUAGGUGACACAUUGAUCCAUCUAAGAAGUAUAAAUGUUGAUCAGCAAGUGGUUAUCACAUUGCUACAGAAGAACACAGUGGGCCAAACAAGGAGCUCAUCAUCCUCUUCUCUGACGAUGAAGAACAGGAUGCCCAAGACCAACAACUCGAAGACAUGGGAACCAUCUCUGGUGAACAUUUGCCCAUCAUAGUGUGCUACUUUACCUGCUAAGAUUUUGCUUGCCAUGAAAAUGAUUGUCUACAGAUCGAGUGGAAUCUAUGGUCUGAUGUAAGACAAUUGUACGAACUAUGUAAGACAAUUGUACGAACUAUGUAAUUGAAACCAAAUUCAAAACUAAUGUUGUUUUAAAUA